rnacentral:rRNA from 1 species
CGAAAGCCUGACGGAGCAAUACCGCGUGAGGGAGGAAGGCUCUUGGGUUGUAAACCUCAAAAAUUAGGGAAGAAAAAAAUGACGGUACCUAAAAUAAGCAUCGGCUAACUCCGUGCCAGCAGCCGCGGUAAUACGGAGGAUGCCAGCGUUAUCCGGAAUCAUUGGGCGUAAAGAGUCCGUAGGCGGCUAGUCAAGUCUGCUGUCAAAGACCAUAGCUUAACUCUGGAAAGGCCAUGGAAACUGAAGAGCUAGAGUUCGGGAGGGGUAGAGGGAAUUCCCAGUGUAGCGGUGAAAUGCGUAGAGAUUGGGAAGAACACCAGUGGCGAAGGCGCUCUACUGGACCGAAACUGACACUGAGGGACGAAAGCUAAGGUAGCG